CCACGUUUCUCCAAAGCCUCUUGAAUCAGCUCGAGCCUGCUUACCUGCUUACCGCUUUGGACUUUCUUGAUUCAGAUUGCUCACCUGGUCUCAGCCCUGCCCACCCGGCCCUGCUUCUGCGCUCCUGCAAUCUGGACCUGUUUGACCCACAUCCUCUCUCCUGAUCCAAUGUCCCGGUUCCGACCCGCCCAGCCCCAGCAACUCUGGCCUCCAAGCAGAUCGCUCAUUGCCCCAGGCCCAGGACUCACUUCCACCAGCUGUGGAUCAUGGCCAGAUAUGAAGAGGAAAUGGAUCUCGUUUUUGGACAAGAUAUACAAAAGAGCCAUUUCACAGGGCCAAAGAAGCAAAGCUAAACCUGAGUUGUGCCAAAAGAACACACAGGUCAACAAAUCCAGGAAGGAUUGA
rnacentral:lncRNA from 1 species